rnacentral:rRNA from 1 species
AUACGAAAGGUGCAAGCGUUGUUCGGAUUUACUGGGCGUAAAGAGAGUGUAGGUGGUUUAUUAAGUCGGAUGUGAAAUCCCGGGGCUCAACCUCGGAACUGCAUUCGAUACUGAUAGGCUAGAGUUUGGGAGGGGUAAGCGGAAUUCCGUGUGUAGCAGUGAAAUGCGUAGAUAUACGGAGGAACACCUGAGGCGAAGGCGGCUUACUGGACCAAUACUGACCCUGAGACUCGAAAGCGUGGGUAGCAAACAGCAUUAGAAACCCUAGUAGUCC